UACAUGGGGUGCAAACGUUGCUCGGAAUUAUUGGGCGUAAAGCGCACGUAGGCGGUUUGUUAAGUCGGAUGUGAAAUCCCUCGGCUCAACUGAGGAAGUGCAUCCGAAACUGGCAGGCUUGAGUACUAAAGAGGGUCGCGGAAUUCCCGGUGUAGAGGUGAAAUUCGUAGAUAUCGGGAGGAACACCGGUGGCGAAGGCGGCGACCUGGGUAGAUACUGACGCUGAGGUGCGAAAAGCGUGGGGAGCAACAGG
rnacentral:rRNA from 1 species